rnacentral:tRNA from 1 species
GCCACCUUAGCUCAGUUGGUCAGAGCAACUCACUUGUAAUGAGUAGGUCCGGGGUUCGAAUCCCCGAGGUGGCUCCA